GUCUCUUAGUUUAUGAGUGAGGAGUUUCUAUAAGAUCCCGCUGGUGACCAGCCCAAUUGCAUUUGGUGUAUUCCGAGGAGCAAGGAUCAUUUUCUUCUGCCAACAUGCUUUCUGCCACCUGUUUAAUUCUUGUGAUCUUAAUAUUCAGAGGGUCUAGUGGGGACUCAGUGACCCAGACAGAAGGCUCUGUUAUCCUUCCCGAGGGCGCAUCUGUGUUCCUGAACUGCAAUUACCAGACCAGUUAUUCAAGUCCUUUCCUUUUAUGGUUAUUGAGGUGGUUGCUUAGAUCUAUUAACAAGUCUUUGGGGACUUCCGGUAAGAUGGCAGAAUAGACAGACGCUGUGCCGACUGCCUCCCAGGAUCACACCAAAAUUAC